rnacentral:rRNA from 1 species
GACGAACGCUGGCGGCGUGCUUAACACAUGCAAGUCGAACGGAAAGGCCCCUUUGUGGGUACUCGAGCGGCGCACGGGUGCGUAACACGUGCGUAACCUUCCCUUGACUUCGGGAUAACUUCAGGUAACUGGGGCUAAUACCGGAUAGGAAUCCUUUCUGCAUGGUGGGGGUUGGAUAGCUUCGGCGGGUUUGGAUGGACUCGCUGCUUAUCAGCUUGUUGGUGGGGCAGUGGCUUACCAAGGCGUUGGCGGGUAGCCGGACUGCGAGGGCGACCGGCCACAUUGGGACUGAGAUACGGCACAGGCUGCUACGGGAGGGAGAAGUGGGGAAGCUUGCAGAAGGGGCGGAAGGCUGAUGCAGAAACGCCGCGUACGGGAUGACGGCCUUAGGGUUGAAAACCGAUUUCAGCAGGAGCGAAGCUUGUGGUGACGGUACCUGCAGAAGAAGCACCGGCUAACUACGUG